UAGGGAAUCUUCCACAAUGGACGCAAGUCUGAUGGAGCAACGCCGCGUGAGUGAAGAAGGUCUUCGGAUCGUAAAGCUCUGUUGUUGGUGAAGAAGGAUAGAGGCAGUAACUGGUCUUUAUUUGACGGUAAUCAACCAGAAAGUCACGGCUAACUACGUGCCAGCAGCCGCGGUAAUACGUAGGUGGCAAGCGUUGUCCGGAUUUAUUGGGCGUAAAGCGAGCGCAGGCGGAAUGAUAAGUCUGAUGUGAAAGCCCACGGCUCAACCGUGGAACUGCAUCGGAAACUGUCAUUCUUGAGUGCAGAAGAGGAGAGUGGAACUCCAUGUGUAGCGGUGGAAUGCGUAGAUAUAUGGAAGAACACCAGUGGCGAAGGCGGCUCUCUGGUCUGUAACUGACGCUGAGGCUCGAAAGCAUGGGUAGCGAACAGGAUUAGAUACCCUGGUAGUCCAUGCCGUAAACGAUGAGCGCUAGGUGUUGGGGACUUUCCGGUCCUCAGUGCCGCAGCAAACGCAUUAAGCGCUCCGCCUGGGGAGUACGACCGCAAGGUUGAAAC
rnacentral:rRNA from 1 species